rfam:Gorilla gorilla gorilla genomic chromosome, chr18, whole genome shotgun sequence
GGACAUGAGGGCAAUCUGGCUGAGACAUCUGUCACCCCAUUGAUUGUCAGGGUUGAUUUGUCUGAUGUGGCUGGUUAGGCCUUCUUCCAGCACCACUCCAUGUCCAUCCCUCCUGAAGCUGAGCACUGGGUCAAAGUAGAAGACCAUCCAUCAUAGAGGUGGACUGGUCUUCAGUCAAGGGUGUACGAGUAGCUGCACUACCCUAUUAGAACUCCCAAACAAACUAUCAAGAACUUAUUCCAAGUGAAGAUGCAAUGAAAAUUGUUGACAUGACAACAAAGGAUUUAUAAUACGACGUUAACUUAGUUAAUAAAGCUGUGGUAA